AUGGCCAUACCACAUUGAAAACAUCGGUUCUCGUCCGAUCACCGAAGUUAAGCAAUGUCGGGCCUGGUCAGUACUUGGGAGGGUGACCACCUGGGAACACCGGGUGCUCUAAGCU